GCAUGAGGAGUUCAGCUUUAAGUGAAACUGCGAACGGCUCAUUAGAGCAGAUGUGAUUUAUUCGGAAAAUCCUAUUGGAUAACUGCGGUAAUUCUGGAGCUAAUACAUGCGUAUAAACCCUGACUUUCGAAAGGGUGCAAUUAUUAGAGCAAAUCAAUCAUUUUCGGAUGUAGUAUCGAUUUCAACGUCCUGCUGCCUAAAGAACGCUCUAGGGGAAGGAGAUAGUGCUAAUCUCGCCACAUUUUGAUGUUCAUUUUUGUUCGAUAUUUCCCUUUUGGUCUGAUAUCGGAGUCGAUUUUGAAG
rnacentral:ncRNA from 1 species